rnacentral:rRNA from 1 species
AGUGAACGCUGGCGGCGUGCCUAAUACAUGCAAGUCGAACGAACGAAUAAGAGCUUGCCCUUGUAAGAUAGUGGCGCACGGGUGAGUAAUAUAUAGCUAAUCUGCCUCUUAGUAGAGAAUAACAGUCGGAAACGAUUGCUACUACUCUAUACUUCUGCUUUACAUAAGUAAAGUAGAGAAAGUUUUUCGCUAAGAGAUGCGGCUAUACUGUAUCAUCUAGUUGGUAAGGAAGCCGCGUACCAAGGCCAUGACGCAUAACUUGUCUGAGAGGAUGAUCAGUCACAUUGGAACUGAGGCACGGUCCAAACUCCUUCGGGAGGCAGCAGUAGGGAAUAUUGCGCAAUGGGGGAAACCCUGACGCAGCAUCGCCGCGUGGAGGAUGACACUUUUCGGAGCGUAAACGCAUUUUAUCGGGAAAGAAUAAUGACGGUACCCGAUGAAUAAGCACCGGCUAACUCCGUG